rnacentral:rRNA from 1 species
GUGGAUUAGAUACCCGGGUAGUCCUAGCCGUAAACUCUGAGCACUUGAUUGAAGGGUCCUCCAUAGCCCUUCAGUCGUAGCGAAAGUGUUAAGUGCUCCGCCUGGGGAGUAUGGUCGCAAGGCUGAAACUCAAAGAAAUUGACGGGGGCUCACACAAGCGGUGGAGGAUGUGGCUUAAUUCGAGGCUACGCGAAGAACCUUAUCCUAGUCUUGACAUGCUUGGAUUAACUCCUGGAAACAGGAGCCAGGCCUUCGGGUACAACAAGCACAGGUGCUGCACGGUCGUCGUCAGCU